AUGAACGCUGGCGGCGUGCCUAAUACAUGCCAGUCGAGCGAACAGACGAGGAGCUUGCUCCUCUGACGUUAGCGGCGGACGGGUGAGUAACACGUGGAUAACCUACCUAUAAGACUGGGAUAACUUCGGGAAACCGGAGCUAAUACCGGAUAAUAUAUUGAACCGCAUGGUUCAAUAGUGAAAGACGGUUUUGCUGUCACUUAUAGAUGGAUCCGCGCCGCAUUAGCUAGUUGGUAAGGUAACGGCUUACCAAGGCAACGAUGCGUAGCCGACCUGAGAGGGUGAUCGGCCACACUAGAACUGAGACACGGUCCAGACUCCUACGGGAGGCAGCAGUAGGGAAUCUUCCGCAAUGGGCGAAAGCCUGACGGAGCAACGCCGCGUGAGUGAUGAAGGUCUUCGGAUCGUAAAACUCUGUUAUUAGGGAAGAACAAAUGUGUAAGUAACUAUGCACGUCUUGACGGUACCUAAUCAGAAAGCCACGGCUAACUACGUG
rnacentral:rRNA from 1 species